rnacentral:rRNA from 1 species
UACGUAGGGUGCAAGCGUUGUCCGGAAUUAUUGGGCGUAAAGAGCUCGUAGGCGGUCUGUCGCGUCGGCUGUGAAAACCCGAGGCUCAACCUCGGGCCUGCAGUCGAUACGGGCAAACUAGAGUACUGCAGGGGAGACUGGAAUUCCUGGUGUAGCGGUGAAAUGCGCAGAUAUCAGGAGGAACACCGGUGGCGAAGGCGGGUCUCUGGGCAGUAACUGACGCUGGAGGAGCGAAAAGCCGUGGGGAGCGAAACAGG